AAUACAUUCACUGGUUUACUGUCGGUCCCCCGGCUUCAAGCCACAGAACCGAUGCUCGAUCACGGUUGUACAUUAGAGUCCCCCAGUGAGAAAAAGCCCACUAGCUGCGGGGCUCCCAAAUACUUUAAGUGUCAAAGCGUCCCUCCGAAGACCCCGCACCUUAGAUCACAGAUGUGAUCUCUUCCUGACCUUGUUUUGCCUGCUCUGUCCUCUGUAGCACCCUUGGCAGCCUCACCCUCCUUGUGACUAAUGGAUUAAGCUGCUAUAAUGCUCCAGGAGCUCGCCCAUCCAGACAUGGAGAGUGCAAUAAGCUCAGUCUCGCUCCGCUGUGGCUGGACCCCAGGGAAUAGGGCCUCUGCUGUGCCGUCCCGUGAACAGAUGCAUCCGUUUGUCCCUUUUACUGGAACAUACAGCAGACCAGUUUUGAAAGCGUCGGGUCGGAUUGGCUUCAUUUCUGUGCAGGCUGCUCUUGUCAUCGAUACAAGGAGC
ensembl:lncRNA